GGUCCGGUAGCCAAGUGGUAAGGCGACAGUCUGCAAAACUGUUAUUCGAGGGUUCGAUUCCCUCCCGGACCU
rfam:Parcubacteria group bacterium CG2_30_45_37 cg2_3.0_scaffold_18699_c, whole genome shotgun sequence.